GAUGAACGCUGGCGGCGUGCCUAAUACAUGCAAGUAGAACGCUGAAGCUUGGUGCUUGCACCGAGCGGAUGAGUUGCGAACGGGUGAGUAACGCGUAGGUAACCUGCCUCUUAGCGGGGGAUAACUAUUGGAAACGAUAGCUAAUACCGCAUAAAAGUCGAUAUCGCAUGAUAUUGAUUUGAAAGGUGCAAUUGCAUCACUAAGAGAUGGACCUGCGUUGUAUUAGCUAGUUGGUGAGGUAACGGCUCACCAAGGCGACGAUACAUAGCCGAACUGAGAGGUUGAUCGGCCACAUUGGGACUGAGACACGGCCCAAACUCCUACGGGAGGCAGCAGUAGGGAAUCUUCCACAAUGGACGCAAGUCUGAUGGAGCAACGCCGCGUGAGUGAAGAAGGUCUUCGGAUCGUAAAACUCUGUUGUUAAAGAAGAACACGAGUGAGAGUAACUGUUCAUUCGAUGACGGUAUCUAACCAGCAAGUCACGGCUAACUACGUGCCAGCAGCCGCGGUAAUACGUAGGUGGCAAGCGUUGUCCGGAUUUAUUGGGCGUAAAGGGAACGCAGGCGGUCUUUUAAGUCUGAUGUGAAAGCCUUCGGCUUAACCGGAGUAGUGCAUUGGAAACUGGAAGACUUGAGUGCAGAAGAGGAGAGUGGAACUCCAUGUGUAGCGGUGAAAUGCGUAGAUAUAUGGAAGAACACCAGUGGCGAAAGCGGCUCUCUGGUCUGUAACUGACGCUGAGGUUCGAAAGCGUGGGUAGCAAACAGG
rnacentral:rRNA from 1 species